rnacentral:rRNA from 1 species
AUUGAACGCUGGCGGCAGGCCUAACACAUGCAAGUCGAGCGGAGCGGCGGACGGGUGAGUAAUGCCUAGGAAUCUGCCUGGUAGUGGGGGAUAACGUCCGGAAACGGGCGCUAAUACCGCAUACUAUCAGAUGAGCCUAGGUCGGAUUAGCUAGUUGGUGGGGUAAAGGCCUACCAAGGCGACGAUCCGUAACUGGGCUGAGAGGAUGAUCAGUCACAACGGGACCUGGACACGGUCCAGACUCCUAAGGGAGGCAACAAGUGGGGAAUUUUGAACAUGGGGGAAAGGCUUAUUCCACCAAGGCGGGGUGGUGAAGAAAGUCUUUGGGUUUGAAAGGCCCUUUAGUUGGGAAGCGUUUCCCACCAAAAAAGCACCGGCUAACUUCGUGCCAGCAGCCGCGGUAAUUC